UUGGUCUUGGGCGUAGGAUGGGCCGAGUGCACCUGGCUGGACUUGGACCCUCCCUGGGCUGGCGCCCUUCCCCCUCCUCUCCCCGCGGGGCUUGGAAGGGCUUGGCCUGCCGGGAGAGCAAAGCCGACAGUCUCCUGUGCUGUCUCAGGACCUCGCCCCUCUCGAGUCCCGGCCCUGGGCAAGCCUUGGGCAAGCCUGCCCAGCACCUGUCUCGGCUCCUCACCAGGUGCGCCUUCUUUCCUGCCCACUGAGGAAUCCAUGUGCCAGUCUGCGGGUCCGAAUACCCAGGUGACCAAGACUGUCUGAAGAGCUACUAGGCUGUCCUCAGAAGACACAAUGUCUCACUGCAGCAUCACACAGCACGAGCGGUCACAGGCACCGCAGUGACCUCCGAUGGCCCAGGAGUGACCCCAGUUCCUGCCAGCCCUGGGAGGAAAAAAGCAGCUCGUCUCAUGCCCCCGCCCUUGACACACGAGACAAUCCACGUCUGCUGGCAUAUUAUCAUACGUUAGCAGACCUCUGAGAGCCAAACUGCAGACCACAGCAGCUGGGCCGGGGCCUGGAGCGGGCCUGGGAUCCUCCCCCUGGAUGGGACCAGCCUGCCUCGAAUUCCCCACACACUGUGUUCCAGGCACUUCCCCCUUCAUUAGCACUGUGUGUGCCAUUCACCACCCUCUCCAUCGCUGUCACCGCGGUCCUUCCCGUGAGAAGUGCACCCAGGGGCCUGCCUUUAUAAAUAAGUCCAUGGUGUUUGUUGGAGGAUGACGGGA